UACAGGGGGUGCAAACGUUGCUCGGAAUUAUUGGGCGUAAAGCGCGCGUAGGCGGUGCUCUAAGUUGGAUGUGAAAGCCCUCGGCUUAACCGAGGAAGAGCAUCCAAAACUGGAGCACUAGAGUGUCAAAGAGGGUCGCGGGAUUCCUGGUGUAGAGGUGAAAUUCGUAGAUAUCAGGAGGAACACCGGUGGCGAAGGCGGCGACCUGGGUGACUACUGACGCUGAGGCGCGAAAGCGUGGGGAGCAAACAGG
rnacentral:rRNA from 1 species